rnacentral:rRNA from 1 species
GCUUCGUAUUAGGAUUUACUCCGAAAGCGAAGAAACUUACAACAAAGAGUCCCUCCCGACUGUUUACCAAAAACACAGCACUCUGCUAACUCGUAAGAGGAUGUAUAGGGUGUGACGCCUGCCCGGUGCUCGAAGGUUAAUUGAUGGGGUUAGCAUUAGCGAAGCUCUUGAUCGAAGCCCGAGUAAACGGCGGCCGUAACUAUAACGGUCCUAAGGUAGCGAAAUUCCUUGUCGGUUAAAUACCGACCUGCAUGAAUGGCGUAACGAGAUGGGAGCUGUCUCAAAGAGGGAUCCAGUGAAAUUGUAGUGGAGGUGAAAAUUCCUCCUACCCGCGGCAAGACGGAAAGACCCCGUGGACCUUUACUACAGCUUGACACUGCUAUUUGGAUAAGAAUGUGCAGGAUAGGUGGGAGGCUUUGAGUAUAUGACGCCAGUUGUAUAUGAGCCAUUGUUGAGAUACCACUCUUUCUUAUUUGGGUAGCUAACCAGCUUGAGUUAUCCUCAAGUGGGACAAUGUCUGGUGGGUAGUUUGACUGGGGCGGUCGCCUCCCAAAUAAUAACGGAGGCUUACAAAGGUUGGCUCAGAACGGUUGGAAAUCGUUCGUAGAGUAUAAAGGUAUAAGCCAGCUUAACUGCAAGACAUACAAGUCAAGCAGAGACGAAAGUCGGUCUUAGUGAUCCGGUGGUUCUGUGUGGAAGGGCCAUCGCUCAAAGGAUAAAAGGUACCCCGGGGAUAACAGGCUGAUCUCCCCCAAGAGCUCACAUCGACGGGGAGGUUUGGCACCUCGAUGUCGGCUCAUCGCAUCCUGGGGCUGGAGCAGGUCCCAAGGGUAUGGCUGUUCGCCAUUUAAAGCGGUACGCGAGCUGGGUUCAGAACGUCGUGAGACAGUUCGGUCCCUAUCUGCCGUGGGCGUAAGAAGAUUGAAGAGAUUUGACCCUAGUACGAGAGGACCGGGUUGAACAAACCACUGGUGUAGCUGUUGUUCUGCCAAGAGCAUCGCAGCGUAGCUAAGUUUGGAAAGGAUAAACGCUGAAAGCAUCUAAGCGUGAAGCCAACUCUAAGAUGAAUCUUCUCUAAGCUCUCUAGAAGACUACUAGUUUGAUAGGCUGGGUGUGUAAUGGAUGAAAGUCCUUUAGCUGACCAGUACUAAUAGAGCGUUUGGCUUAUCUUU